rnacentral:rRNA from 1 species
AUUGAACGCUGGCGGCAGGCCUAACACAUGCAAGUCGAACGAGUGGCGGACGGGUGAGUAAUGUCUGGGAAACUGCCUGAUGGAGGGGGAUAACUACUGGAAACGGUAGCUAAUACCGCAUACCAUCGGAUGUGCCCAGAUGGGAUUAGCUAGUAGGUGGGGUAAAGGCUCACCUAGGCGACGAUGCCUAGCUGGGCUGAGAGGAUGACCGGCGAAAUUGGAACUAAUACACGGCCCAGAAUCCUACGGUAGGCAUCAGGGGGGAAUAUUGCACAAUGGGCGCAUGCCUGAGGCAGCCAUGCCGCGUGUAUGAAGAAGGCCUUCGGGUUGUAAAGUACUUUCAGCGGGGAGGCGUUACCCGCAGAAGAAUCACCGGCUAACUCCGUGCCAGCAGCCGCGGUAAUUC